rnacentral:lncRNA from 1 species
AUUUUUAAUGAUUAGAUGUUACUUCUUUUCUUACAAAUAAAGUUUGCAUCACAUACAAUAGAUCCUAGAAUUUUUGGAUCUAAGGUUUUGCAAAAAAGUAAGUUUUCUUCUUUUUGUAUUUUUUUCAUGGGAUAUAAUCAUAUGUCACCCCUACAUGCUAUAAGAGUACCCCCAUUGAAUGAAAAAAGAGAGCCUUUAAACCCUACUUGC